AACGAACGCUGGCGGCAGGCUUAACACAUGCAAGUCGAGCGCCCCGCAAGGGGAGCGGCAGACGGGUGAGUAACGCGUGGGAAUCUACCCAUCUCUACGGAAUAACGCAUGGAAACGUGUGCUAAUACCGUAUACGUCCAUCGGGAGCACGAUUUAUCGGAGAUGGAUGAGCCCGCGUGGGAUUAGCUAGUUGGUGGGGUAAAGGCCUACCAAGGCGACGAUCCAUAGCUGGUCUGAGAGGGUGAUCAGCCACACUGGGACUGAGACACGGCCCAGACUCCUACGGGAGGCAGCAGUGGGGAAUAUUGGACAAUGGGCGCAAGCCUGAUCCAGCCAUGCCGCGUGAGUGAUGAAGGCCCUAUGGUUGUAAAGCUCUUUCACCGGUGAAGAUAAUGACGGUAACCGGAGAAGAAGCCCCGGCUAACUUCGUGCCAGCCGCCGCAGUAACAC
rnacentral:rRNA from 1 species